rnacentral:rRNA from 1 species
AUUGAACGCUGGCGGCAUGCUUUACACAUACAAGUCGAACGGUAACAGGGAGCUUGCUCCGCUGACGAGUGGCGAACGGGUGAGUAAUGCGUCGGAACGUGCCGAGUAGUGGGGGAUAACGCAUCGAAAGGUGUGCUAAUACCGCAUACGUACUGAGGUAGAAAGUGGGGGACCUUCGGGCCUCACGCUAUUCGAGCGGCCGACGGCUGAUUAGCUAGUUGGUGAGGUAAAGGCUCACCAAGGCGACGAUCAGUAGCGGGUCUGAGAGGAUGAUCCGCCACACUGGGACUGAGACACGGCCCAGACUCCUACGGGAGGCAGCAGUGGGGAAUUUGGGACAAUGGGCGCAAGCCUGAUCCAGCCAUGCCGCGUGUCUGAAGAAGGCCUUCGGGUUGUAAAGGACUUUUGUCCGGGAGCAAAUGCCUGGUGUUAAUAGCAUCGGGAGCUGAGAGUACCGGAAGAAUAAGCACCGGCUAACUACGUGCCAGCAGCCGCGGUAA